CUGUUCCGUAGGUGAACCUGCGGAAGGA
rnacentral:rRNA from 1 species